rnacentral:lncRNA from 1 species
ACUUCAUGGAAGCUGCUUCACUUUUUGACAAUGUCUUUUUGCUGCGCAUAUAGGGUCCGCCGUGGAAGGCGACCUGGCUACAGGCAGCCCAACACGGCAAUCUCGAGAUGAGUAAAAUAGCGGUUAUCAGUGUUCUGUUGCUAAUUUUCGUUUGUGCGCUUGUGCUGAACGUGAGAGCGGAAGACCCUCCAGCGAACUUGCCAGUGAGUGGCGGUGGUGAACCACGUGCUCCUCUGAGAAGCCAGGUGCAAGGCGCGUCGCAAGAUUGCGGGCGACACGAGAAGUUCAAGUUCUGCCGAAGCAGCAAUUGCGGCGAGAAGACCUGCGCAACCCGGUUCAAUCUGUUCCGACAGUGUAAAACAGAUUGCGUGUCCAGAUGUUUCUGCCGUCGAGGAUAUUAUCGGGAUGACAGAGGAAGCUGCGUUCGCUUCUGGAAAUGCAGUAGUUUGAUCAAAUAUAUUACGGAGAAGUUCCAGAAGGGGAAAAAGAGCCGCGCCGAGUAGUGCUUGCAACUUUAUAGACAUACUUCUGUCUCACUGAUAAUUUUGUUCGCAUUUCUGUCGAUCACUAAGCGUGACGACGUCCUGGUACAGAAAUAAAUGUGCGUAUAAC